ACGAGUCCCGAAUAGGACGAAAUGCGCAUCCUGGAU
rnacentral:hammerhead_ribozyme from 1 species